AAAGACCAAUUUUCAUUUGAUUUCGUGGACUGACGAAUUAACCAGAAGGCACAGAGCCACCCAAACAUCAAUUUUUUAGCCCUUUCCCACUACCCAAUCAUGCUAAUUAUUAUUAUUUUUUUAUAGGAAACAAAUUUUUAUAUAUUAGAAACUCAAAAAAGGGGAUCCAAGAUAUAUGCCUGUCCGCAAAUUCGGCUUAUCUAAAAGAAUAGUUUAUGUACUUUUUGAUAAAGAAAGACUUAUUUUUCUAUUCCCAUUGCAAUAAGGGCAUCCCUCUGAUGGAUGUGAAGUUUACGAAGGUAGAGACUUUAGUCUUCCUACGAUCUCUCUUAGAAGAAGAAACUCUGAAACUCACCCGACGACUCUUCUUAUGAAGUCAAUUGUACAGAGUACAUCGAGAGAGAGAUCAAUUACAGACCACAUAUAUUGAGUGAAAGAAAGAAGAAUGUUAAAAAAAAAAAAAAAGUGUUUACGCGAUUCAGUCACAGAUUGUAACUUACAUUAACAAGAUCAGAGGGGAGGAGAAAUCUUAUUCGUGAGUAGUUGUGAAACAUUGAGUCAUUAUACUGUGUUCACUGCUGAGAGAGAGAGAGAGAGAGAGAGAGAGAGAGAGACCUGCUUUCUUAGAAAGGUUUCUCCAACUGCCUUCCCCAUGGAGCUUAAUGUAAUCUCUCAGAAUUUUGUCUUCAGACGCAGUCCAUGCACCUCUGUUCAACCCUUCCUUUGCGCAACAGGGGCUUCUCCCCAUCUACCUUGAAUAUUUUAGGAAAUAUCUAUAUUCUGCGCACUCUCUCUCUCUCUCUCUCUCUACUUUAACCCAAGUCUCCACCGGUGUUGGAAAUUCAGUGGAGAGCUGUGCUUCUUAUGGGGUGGUUUCUAAUUGUCAU